CCUCUCAUAGCGUAGUGGUAACGCGCCCCAACUAGAGAUCGGGGAGUCGUGAGUUCGAUUCUCACUGAGAAGA
rfam:Aedes aegypti strain Liverpool supercont1.123 genomic scaffold, whole genome shotgun sequence.